GACGAACGCUGGCGGCGUGCUUAACACAUGCAAGUCGAACGGAAAGGCCCUGCUUUUGUGGGGUGCUCGAGUGGCGAACGGGUGAGUAACACGUGAGUAACCUGCCCUUGACUUUGGGAUAACUUCAGGAAACUGGGGCUAAUACCGGAUAGGAGCUCCUGCUGCAUGGUGGGGGUUGGAAAGUUUCGGCGGUUGGGGAUGGACUCGCGGCUUAUCAGCUUGUUGGUGGGGUAGUGGCUUACCAAGGCUUUGACGGGUAGCCGGCCUGAGAGGGUGACCGGGCAGAUUGGGAGAGCAGUAAGGCGGCGACUGAUGCGGGGGGGAGCAGAGCGGGGUGUUGCAGGAUGGCAGGAAGCCUGAUGCCGACACGCCGCGGGCGGGCAGACGGCGAGCGGGUGGGAAAACGGGUAGGACUGUGACGAAGCGUGAGGGACGGGGAGGGGUAAAGAGACACGGCCUAAGUACGCG
rnacentral:rRNA from 1 species